GAUGAACGCUGGCGGCGUGCCUAAUACAUGCAAGUCGAGCGAACGGACGAGAAGCUUGCUUCUCUGAUGUUAGCGGCGGACGGGUGAGUAACACGUGGAUAACCUACCUAUAAGACUGGGUAAACUUCGGGAAACCGGUGCUAAAUCCGGCGUAACUUUUAAACGCCAGGUUUAAAAAGGUAAGGACGUCUUUCCGUCGCCUGUACGUGGAUCCCCCGCUGCAUUAGCUAGUUGGUAAGGUAACGGCUUACCAAGGCAACGAUGCAUAGCCGACCUGAGAGGGUGAUCGGCCACACUGGAACUGAGACACGGUCCAGACUCCUACGGGAGGCAGCAGUAGGGAAUCUUCCGCAAUGGGCGAAAGCCUGACGGAGCAACGCCGCGUGAGUGAUGAAGGUCUUCGGAUCGUAAAACUCUGUUAUUAGGGAAGAACAUAUGUGUAAGUAACUGUGCACAUCUUGACGGUACCUAAUCAGAAAGCCACGGCUAACUACGUG
rnacentral:rRNA from 1 species